rnacentral:rRNA from 1 species
UACGUAGGGACCGAGCGUUGUCCGGAAUCAUUGGGCGUAAAGAGCGUGUAGGCGGCUCGCUAAGUCUUGCGUGAAAUCUCGGGGCUCAACCCCGAGCGGUCGUGAGAAACUGGCGGGCUAGAGUGCGGGAGAGGAGAGUGGAAUUCCUGGUGUAGCGGUGGAAUGCGCAGAUAUCAGGAGGAACACCGGUGGCGAAGGCGGAUCUCUGGGCCAUAACUGACGCUGAGGAGCGAAAGCAUGGGGAGCGAACAGG